UUGUGUGAUGUGUUCUUGGUUUUGCAUUUUGAAUGUAGAACUACAGGUACUGUGCUGCAUAAACAUGUACACUUAAAAACGUAAUUAAUACAAAAUGAGGCUUUAAUUAACUAUUCAUCGAAAUCUGGAGUAGUUAAAACAGAGUAGAAGAUUAAAAAUGGAGGAAGAGAGAGAAGAAGGAGAAAAAAGCUUCACUGUGACCAACUGCUGCAAACAAAUGUUUCUCUAUGUAAUGCGGAACGAAAAGCUGGUUCACGUCCCAUCCCGGAAGUUCACAGUCUGACAUCUGGUGGAAACUCAAAAUACUGGUAGUAUCAAAGUACUAGUGAUGGGAAGUUCGGAUCAUUUUACUGACUGGGUUUUUUGAAUCUCGUUCAGCAAAAUGAACGAAUGUUUUUUCGAGUCAUUUCGUUAAUUUUGAACGACUCGAAAGGUAUUAUAGUGAUGUGUCCUUCACGAAAAUCUUUCCCAUGACUCGAGAACAUCGGGUCGACUCGGGGAGUGAUUCAUUCAUUUUGUGUUGACCGCGCAUGCGCAACAUCGCAUAAGAUUAGUACACCUUUCUGUUCGUUUUUGAACGUGAUCAAUAUGUGCAUAAGUAGAUGGGGAAUUAACAUGUAACAUUUUAAUUACAUUCUGCUGAAGUGAAUGAAAUUACUCGAAAGACUCCACACAUCGAGAGUAGGCACUGGAAUCGUUUUUAACCACGUAGUGAGCACCCCGCCUUAGUUAACGAUCUUUGCUGAGAACAGGAAAACAACCCAGCAGCGACUUCCGGUUGCUCCUCCGCCUCCAGUCAGCUGUCUCACGUUUGUAUACAAACAGAUCCGUCUGCAGGUCUUUGCUCCAUACUCUGUGCAAUUCUAGCUCCUCCACGAUGGAAGAAAACAACGACGGCGACAUCAUCGAGCACCACAUCGAGGAGGACAUGGAGAAGAAGACGAGGAGCCAGGCAGCGUCCCCCUCGUUCCUGGAGAGCGUCAGUUCCCCCGAUAGAGAUUGUCUCAGCAGCACCCAGUCCUCCCACAGACUGCUGGCCUACAGCGAUGCCCUCAUCUCCAUCAUCGCCACUGUCAUGAUUUUACCUGUUGCACAUACUAAAGUGGAAGAUAAUGAGGAGCUGAGGGAAAUCAUGCAGGUCCUGUUGACAACAAAGAUUGGUGUUUACUUAAUGACAUUCCUCAUUGUGACUGUUGCCUGGGCUGCACAUAUCAGGCCUGCAUGAUGCUGAUAACCUUUCUGCCGUACACAUUCUCUCUGAUGGCAACUUUCCCUGAGAACAUUCUCGGGAUUUUACUCUUUUGUGGUUGUGUGAUGGUGAUCGGCGUCAUUCAGAGAGAAGGUGUGUGUUGACUAUGGCGACAUCUGGACAGAGGAAGCCUGAGGCUCCCAAUGUGACACACAAAUGCUAUGUUCACACUACAUGCUGAAGUGACUAAAAUGAAUUUUUUUCCCCAUCAAGUGACUCAGAGCUGACUUUUUCAGAUGGGAUUUGGGCCACUUGCACGUGUGCUUCUAGAUCCGAUUCAUAUGCUAUAUGCCAUAAGUGAGAGAUUAGGAGUACAACAGCAUUCAGAACAGAGCUGGAUACAUGUCACUUACAUACAUGAAUGUGAACAAUGAACAGAAAAAGAUCAGAUCUGACCAAAAGAUCAGAAUUGAUGAAUAAGGCUUAUAAUGGGAACAUGGUGCAAGUUCCCACAUAUUUCUGAAGUACACCCUAGUCUCAGCCCCUGAGGAUGCAAUCUACAAGAGAGAAAGAGAAAAAAUGGCCAGGUUCUGCCAAGCAAUGUCAGAUAGGAUGGAGUACUGAGUCAGGUAAGGAGAGACGCUAUGCAACUUGUCCUGAUGCAUACAGUGCAUAUUCAAACACUCAAGAUCCUCAUUGGAGGGAUUAAGUUAGUAGAAAUCUGGUCAGCAUGCUGUAACAGUGCUAUAUUAACCUGGCAUUAAACACACUGCAGUUUAUAAAAGACACAAUAAGGGGAUGCCACCAGAGAUAGUAAUGUCCUCAACAGGAUGAACCUACAAUGAGGCUGUGCCAGCAAUAUGAAAAUAAAAGCAUUAGUGUGCAGAGAAAGCCCAAAGCAGCAAUAACAACCAGUAUAAGACUACCAGCAAAUUAGCAGUACUGUCAGUAACACAGGAAUCUGUGAUGAUGCAGCAAAGGUGGGUUGCCUGGGUGACAGUUGUGGUGCCAGGGUCUGUAUUGCCUUCUGUAGUGCAGGCAAGGAUACAGACUGCACUGUGGAGGAUCGAAUCCUUAGUAUGAUUGAUGCUAGAUGUUAUCCUCUACUGAUUUCUUGGGCAGUUCUCUUAACAUUGACAAGUGCUUUUCUGUUUGCAGUGGUGGAGGUUAAAGUGCAGCACAUCCGAUUUGAUGACACACUGGUAAAAGUUCUCAAGGAGCUUUUGCAGGAAUGGGGCUCUCUUCAGUCACACGAGGAAAUAAAUUCUUCCUGUGAAGUAUUUUCAACAAGAGAGAAUGUGCUGAGAGCCCUAAACAGAGAAACUUGAGACUAGGGUCCCACUCCACCUUGUGGAUGAUGCAAAUGAGAUGUAUGGCUCUGGCAAGAUUUUGGGAUUGUUAGCAGGCAGUGAUAGUAGCCUCCAAGUGGGUAGAAGCAUUCUUUAGAAACAUGCUUGUAAUAUAUUAUUGUUUUUGGAGACACUACUGGUCAAAUAAUCAAUCCUCUGCUUAUGAUGUUGUAAACUCACAAUGACUGUAACUUUGUAACACCAGUUUAUGUUUGGUGCUGUAGUAGUGAGGCUGUUGCAGGUUGUUAGUGCUAACAAGUUGCUAACAAGUGGCUAAAUGAGACCACAGAGGCUGUCUGAGAUUUUACACAUCAUCACAGAGACCCAUCUACUCACUAGUGCCCCUUUACAGCCUUGUUAUUUUUAAAUUUGUGCACUUGUAAACUAUUGUAACUGACACAGCCCAGAUUACCAGCUAAUCAGGUCACGCUAAGAGGAAAGGAUUUUGUAGAAGAAGUGCGUGCUAGAAAUCAAAUUACAAGUUGGAAGCUGUGGUGGUGAUGCUGAACUCAUGGGACCGUGAUGUAGUUUGUUUACAACCUAACAACAGGCUAUAAAAAGAUCAUAAAAGUGGUGUUCAUUGUGAUGCCUAUUUUAUUUGGGACUCAAUCUUAAACUGAAUAUGCCCCUUGGAAUUCAAAUAAAAAUACUCUGUGGAGUUUUUUUUUUAUAAAGAAUAUUUACAUUCAGUGGUACACACAGUAAAACACCUCGAGAUUUAUCAAAACUAAAUGUUGAAUGUGCUUCCUUCCUCAUUAAUGGCAUAUAUGAUUACAUUAAUCAGUAGAGAAAAAAAGUAUGUGAUACUAUGUUUGGCCAGCUACUCUGGGGCACUUCGUGUUCAUUUGUAUUGCUGAAUGGCAGGAGCCCCGUUGAACUACAGCAAUGUAAUUUGUGGAGCACAUGAGCGGUGACAGGAUAAUAACAGUUGCUGAGACUGAAGAUGCCCAUGGAUGAGAGGACAGGAAGAUGCUGUUGAUCUAUGUGGAGACUUAAUGCCAUAGUAAAUGCUAGUCCUUCAUAUCAUUGAUCUGUCGUAGCAUUUGGAGUCAUCUGGCUCUAUUAUCCUGCCAGUGCAAUUUCUGAGUUGCAUUAUUCACAGUCUUUAUGCAAUUUUCCCAGGGCACAUGUUUACUUUCUGUUGUGCAUUGGUGUGUUUGGUUUCCAGCCAUGAAUGAAUGUGCUUACACUGAAGUGGGAAGAGAGGUGCAGUUGAGGCCCUGUGUAUGCUGAUUAGGCAAGACAGUGUAGUUUUGGUCCUCUGUUUUCUAGUGAUAGUGAUAACUAUAACACCUGCUCAGAUCACCUCUCAUUGCUGUCACAGGUGUAUUUGCAAUUUUCCUGACAAGUGCGUGAGCUGGGAAGCACGAGAUCAGGUACAAACAUGUAUUUUAAUGGCCACACCAACUUAAAAUUAACCUUUAAAUCCACAACCGAUCUGCUGGAAUUCACUCUGGAUAAUAAAUUUUGUAUCAUGAAAUGUGUGAUGAUUUCAAAAGGCCAUUUUUAACCCUUAGUAGUUCCUUUAAAAAAAUCACACAUAUGUACCUAAAGGCAAAUUAGUAACCCCUUAUAAAAACAGCUCCAAAAAUGUCAUAAAUUCAUAUUUUUUUCCACUUUAAACUGACCAAUCUUUAAAAACUACUUGUUCCUGAAAUAUACAUAUCAAAUAUGAAUUAUAUUUCUGGAAUUUUUAACCCUUUAUAGGCCAGUAUGUUUUCAUAACUCCAUAUUUUUAUAUGGGAACAAUAUGGAAAAUUAGAAUAAUUUCCAAAAAAAUACAUUUCAACCAGUAUUUGUUUAUUAUUAUUAUUAGGCCCUGGGAUAGGUCAAUGAUUGGCAGCAACAUUGAUUUUGAAGCAUUUUUUUUUUUUGGCAGAGGCAGAUUUUAAGUGCCUAAUGGCAAAAAGUGUCCACUUACAAAAACAGCUCUAAAAAUGUCAUAAAUUCAUAUUACCCUGUUCUGUUCUAAAAAUAAAUUAAAAAAAAUACAAGAUUAGUUUGAACCAGAACAUUUAUUUACAAGAACAAAGGACAAGGAACACUAAAAAACAUAAACUUUGAAUCACUCUGUGUAUUAGCUCAAGCAGAGGCUGCAAAUAGAAAUGGAGUGGUUCUUGCAGCUAAACCUGUGGCACUUACAGCAGGUGCCUACAACCCUCUUUUUUGUGCACAAGUGGCACUGCCGUCUGCUCUUGACUUUGCUCCUCUGACUGCCUGCUAGAAUGUACCUCAGCAUCUGGUCAUUUGGGGGAGACCACAAAAGCGUUCUAUCUGUCCAUGCAGCACCUAUUGCAUCAGCCUCGCUCCUGCUGCUAUCUUCAGACUAUCACUCUUAGCUCUCUGUCUGCAAGACUACAUCCAAAGCUUUAUAAACUACUAUUUCUCUGAAGCUUCUUCCGGUUCUUUUAAACCAGGAACUCUCAAUGAGACGAAGUAGACUGCUUUAGAUUUUAUAAAAA